rnacentral:rRNA from 1 species
ACGGGUGAGUAAUGCCUAGGAAAUUGCCUUGAUGUGGGGGAUAACCAUUGGAAACGAUGGCUAAUACCGCAUAAUGCCUACGGGCCAAAGAGGGGGACCUUCGGGCCUCUCGCGUCAAGAUAUGCCUAGGUGGGAUUAGCUAGUUGGUGAGGUAAUGGCUCACCAAGGCGACGAUCCCUAGCUGGUCUGAGAGGAUGAUCAGCCACACUGGAACUGAGACACGGUCCAGACUCCUACGGGAGGCAGCAGUGGGGAAUAUUGCACAAUGGGCGCAAGCCUGAUGCAGCCAUGCCGCGUGUAUGAAGAAGGCCUUCGGGUUGUAAAGUACUUUCAGUUGUGAGGAAGGGGGUGUCGUUAAUANCGGNNNNNCUUGACGUUAGCAACAGAAGAAGCACCGGCUAACUCCGUGCCAGCAGCCGCGGUAAUACGGAGGGUGCGAGCGUUAAUCGGAAUUACUGGGCGUAAAGCGCAUGCAGGUGGUUCAUUAAGUCAGAUGUGAAAGCCCGGGGCUCAACCUCGGAACUGCAUUUGAAACUGGUGAACUAGAGUACUGUAGAGGGGGGUAGAAUUUCAGGUGUAGCGGUGAAAUGCGUAGAGAUCUGAAGGAAUACCAGUGNCGAANGCGGCCCCCUGGACAGAUACUGACACUCAGAUGCGAANGCGUGGGGAGCAAANAGGAUUAGAUACCCUGGUAGNCCNCGCCGUAAACGAUGUCUACUUGGAGGUUG